GUAACGGCGAGUGAAGCGGCAACAGCUCAAAUUUGAAAUCUGGCCUCYUCGGGGUCCGAGUUGUAAUUUGUAGAGGGUGUUUCGGGCGCGAUGCCGGUCUAAGUUCCUUGGAACAGGACGUCGUAGAGGGUGAGAAUCCCGUAUGCGACCGGCGAUCAAGCCUGUGUGAAGCCCCUUCGACGAGUCGAGUUGUUUGGGAAUGCAGCUCAAAAUGGGUGGUAAAUUUCAUCUAAAGCUAAAUACUGGCCAGAGACCGAUAGCGGACAAGUAGAGUGAUCGAAAGAUGAAAAGCACUUUGGAAAGAGAGUCAAACAGUACGUGAAAUUGUUGAAAGGGAAGCGCUUGCAAUCAGACCGGUCCGGAGGUGAUCAGCCGCUGCUYGUCAGCGGUGCACUCGCCUGCGAUCCGGCCAGCAUCGGUUCGGGCGGUGGGAUAAAAGUCCCGGGAAUGUAGCUUCCUUUCGGGGAGUCUUAUAGCCCGGGUCGCAAUGCCGC
rnacentral:rRNA from 1 species